UACAGAGGCCUCAAGCGUUAUCCGGAAUUAUUGGGCGUAAAGCGUGUCUAGGUGGCAUUGUUAGUCUCCUGUUAAAACCUCGGGCUUAACCCGAGGAGUGCGGGGGAAACGGCAAAGCUAGAGAGUGCGAGAGGACUGCGGAACUCAUAGUGUAGGGGUGAAAUCCGUUGAUAUUAUGGGGAACACCAAAGGCGAAGGCAGCAGUCUGGCGCAUUUCUGACACUCACAUACGAAAGCGUGGGGAGCGAACGGG
rnacentral:rRNA from 1 species